AGCUUGCUCUCUGGUGGCGAGUGCGAACGGGUGAGUAAUAUAUCGGAACGUGUCCAAUAAUGGGGGAUAACGAGUCGAAAGAUUCGCUAAUACCGCAUACGCCCUACGGGGGAAAGCAGGGGAUCGUAAGACCUUGCGUUAAUGGAGCGGCCGAUAUCUGAUUAGCUUGUUGGUGAGGUAAAGGCUCACCAAGGCGACGAUCAGUAGCUGGUUUGAGAGAACGACCAGCCACACUGGAACUGAGACACGGUCCAGACUCCUACGGGAGGCAGCAGUGGGGAAUUUUGGACAAUGGGGGCAACCCUGAUCCAGCCAUUCCGCGUGAGUGAAGAAGGCCUUCGGGUUGUAAAGCUCUUUCGCAAGGGAAGAAAACUUAUGAUCGAAUAAAUCAUGAGGUUGACGGUACCUUGAUAAGAAGCACCGGCUAACUACGUGCCAGCAGCCGCGGUAAUACGUAGGGUGCGAGCGUUAAUCGGAAUUACUGGGCGUAAAGCGUGCGCAGGCGGUUUUGUAAGUCGGAUGUGAAAUCCCCGGGCUCAACCUGGGAACUGCGUUCGAAACUGCAAGGCUAGAGUGUGUCAGAGGGGGGUAGAAUUCCACGUGUAGCAGUGAAAUGCGUAGAGAUGUGGAGGAAUACCAAUGGCGAAGGCAGCCCCCUGGGAUAACACUGACGCUCAUGCACGAAAGCGUGGGGAGCAAACAGGAUUAGAUACCCUGGUAGUCCACGCCCUAAACGAUGUCAACUAGUUGUUGGUAGAGUAAAAUCUAUGAGUAACGUAGCUAACGCGUGAA
rnacentral:rRNA from 1 species